rnacentral:rRNA from 1 species
GACGAACGCUGGCGGCGUGCUUAACACAUGCAAGUCGAACGGAAAGGCCCUGCUUUUGUGGGGUGCUCGAGUGGCGAACGGGUGAGUAACACGUGAGUAACCUGCCCUUGACUUUGGGAUAACUUCAGGAAACUGGGGCUAAUACCGGAUAGGAGCUCCUGCUGCAUGGUGGGGGUUGGAAAGUUUCGGCGGUUGGGGAUGGACUCGCGGCUUAUCAGCUUGUUGGUGGGGUAGUGGCUUACCAAGGCUUUGACGGGUAGCCGGCCUGAGAGGGUGACCGGCCACAUUGGGACUGAGAUACGGCCCAGACUCCUACGGGAGGCAGCAGUGGGGAAUAUUGCACAAUGGGCGGAAGCCUGAUGCAGCAACGCCGCGUGCGGGAUGACGGCCUUCGGGUUGUAAACCGCUUUCGCCUGUGACGAAGCGUGAGUGACGGUAAUGGGUAAAGAAGCACCGGCUAACUACGUGCCAGCAGCCGCGGUGAUACGUAGGGUGCGAGCGUUGUCCGGAUUUAUUGGGCGUAAAGGGCUCGUAGGUGGUUGAUCGCGUCGGAAGUGUAAUCUUGGGGCUUAACCCUGAGCGUGCUUUCGAUACGGGUUGACUUGAGGAAGGUAGGGGAGAAUGGAAUUCCUGGUGGAGCGGUGGAAUGCGCAGAUAUCAGGAGGAACACCAGUGGCGAAGGCGGUUCUCUGGGCCUUUCCUGACGCUGAGGAGCGAAAGCGUGGGGAGCGAACAGGCUUAGAUACCCUGGUAGUCCACGCUGUAAACGGUGGGUACUAGGUGUGGGGUCCAUUCCACGGGUUCCGUGCCGUAGCUAACGCUCUAAGUACCCCGCCUGGGGAGUACGGCCGCAAGGCUAAAACUCAAAGGAAUUGACGGGGCCCCGCACAAGCGGCGGAGCAUGCGGAUUAAUUCGAUGCAACGCGUAGAACCUUACCUGGGUUUGACAUGGAUCGGGAGCGCUCAGAGAUGGGUGUGCCUCUUUUGGGGUCGGUUCACAGGUGGUGCAUGGCUGUCGUCAGCUCGUGUCGUGAGAUGUUGGGUUAAGUCCCGCAACGAGCGCAACCCUUGUUCACUGUUGCCAGCACGUUAUGGUGGGGACUCAGUGGAGACCGCCGGGGUCAACUCGGAGGAAGGUGGGGAUGACGUCAAGUCAUCAUGCCCCUUAUGUCCAGGGCUUCACGCAUGCUACAAUGGCUGGUACAGAGAGUGGCGAGCCUGUGAGGGUGAGCGAAUCUCGGAAAGCCGGUCUCAGUUCGGAUUGGGGUCUGCAACUCGACCUCAUGAAGUCGGAGUCGCUAAUAAUCGCAGAUCAGCAACGCUGCGGUGAAUACGUUCCCGGGGCU